rnacentral:rRNA from 1 species
UACGUAGGGGUGCAAGCGUUUGUCCGGAAUUAUUGGGCGUAAAGAGCUUGUAGGCGGUUUGUCGCGUCUGCUGUGAAAUUUCGGGGGCUCAACCCCCGAACUUGCAGUGGGUACGGGCAGACUAGAGUGUGGUAGGGGAGACUGGAAUUCCUGGUGUAGCGGUGAAAUGCGCAGAUAUCAGGAGGAACACCGAUGGCGAAGGCAGGUCUCUGGGCCACUACUGACGCUGAGAAGCGAAAGCAUGGGGAGCGAACAGGG